rnacentral:rRNA from 1 species
UAGGAAUAUUGGUCAAUGGGCGGAAGCCUGAACCAGCCAAGUCGCGUGAGGGAAUAAGGCCCUACGGGUCGUAAACCUCUUUUGCCGGGGAGCAAGGGCGGGGACGUGUCCCGGCCCGGAGAGUACCAGGAGAAAAAGCAUCGGCUAACUCCGUGCC